UCAUCAACUCCAACACUCCUCCUUAUUGAGACUUUUGUUGGAGUUGUAAAUUUAGUCAAGUCUUCAAGAAUCUUCAAUUUUCUAAUUUGUUUGGUUGUCUUGGAGCACUUCUCUCCAAGUUUGAUGAUGUUGUUUUGCUUUGAUGAAGCACUUCUCUGCAUGUUUAUUGUUGGUGGAGUACAUCUCUCCAACUCUUUCAUUUGCUUUGAUUUUCUGGUGCACUUCUCACCAUUU
rnacentral:misc_RNA from 1 species